rnacentral:rRNA from 1 species
UAACGGCGAGUGAAGCGGGAUGAGCUCAAAUUUGAAAUCUGGCUGGUUUACUAGUCCGAGUUGUAAUUUAAAGAAGCGUUUUCGGUGGCAGCCUGGGUAUAAAUCCUUUGGAAUAGGGUAUCAUAGAGGGUGAGAAUCCCGUCUUUGACAUAGUGCAUGCUACUAUGUGAUACGUUUUCAAAGAGUCGAGUUGUUUGGGAAUGCAGCUCAAAAUGGGUGGUAAAUUUCAUCUAAAGCUAAAUAUUGGCGAGAGACCGAUAGCGAACAAGUACCGUGAGGGAAAGAUGAAAAGAACUUUGAAAAGAGAGUUAAACAGUGCGUGAAAUUGUUGAAAGGGAAACGUUUGACACCAGUCAUGUGGGUGGAAAAUCAGUCUUUUGCAUUGGGGAGUUGUAAGGGUUCGGACCGCAAGGCCGGCUUUUGCUUCAUCUUUGGUGUAAGUGAUGCACUUUUUCAUCUACAGGUCAACAUCAGUUUCUUUUGCUGGACAAAACUCCGAGAGAAGGUAGCAGCUUAGGCUGUGUUAUAGCUCUGGAGCGAUACAGUGAAGGGGACUGAGGUUUUCGCAGCGUGUGCUCUCGGGCAAGGCUGGAUGGGUGCUAUGGGAUCGUUCGGGGUACAAUGCCUGGCAUUUUGCUUCGUGUCUUUUCUAUACUCGCUCAACUCAGCUCUUCCACGCUUAGGAUGUUGACUUAAUGGUUUUAAACGACCCGUCUUGAAACACGGACCAAGGAGUCUAACAUAUAUGCAAGUGUUUGGGUGGCAAACCCAUGCGCGUAAUGAAAGUGAACGUAGGUGCGAUCCGCAAGGUGCAGCAUCGACCGAUCUUGAUAUUUUUGGAUAGAUUUGAGUAAGAGCAUAUAUGCUGGGACCCGAAAGAUGGUGAACUAUGCCUGAAUAGGGUGAAGCCAGAGGAAACUCUGGUGGAGGCUCGUAGCGAUUCUGACGUGCAAAUCGAUCGUCAAAUUUGGGUAUAGGGGCGAAAGACUAAUCGAACCAUCAGAGGUGCCAC